AUAUUAUUAGUUAAUUUUUUAAUAGUUUUGCCCUUCAAUUAAGCGAGCGCUUUUUUUGCGCUUUGUGUUUUAAGCGAUGGGUUGAUGCAUCACUUUAAGUGCACCUUAGGCUUUUAACUACCUUGGUUUGUCAGUAUUGUUGCUGCAGUGUUCACUCAGAUUAGACGUGGUAUUAACCUGGUAAAGUAAUCAUUAGGGCAUUGCCUAGUGUGUGUGCACGUGUGUGUGUGUUUUUUUCCCCAUGUUAAGGAUUAUGUAGGUAGGUGAUUCUUGAAAGGAGCAUGGUGGUUAUCAUCUCUUGUUUAUUGCAUGGUGGUUAUCAUCACUGGUUUUUUACUAUUGACUGCUAUAGUGCAAGAGUGCAAACCUAUAUAAACUGUACAAAAACAGGAUCAGCUAUAAAUGUGACAGAACAAUUUAGGCAUUUUGUUAAUUUACUAAUGGAGAUUAGGCUAUAAGGGCAUUUAGGAGCAAAUAAAACUGAAGUUUAAGGAAUGGAAGAGAAAGGAUGAGCUUCCCCAACUGAAGUGAUAUUAGAAAGAGUUGAAGGAGAAAUAAGGGUAGAAAAUAGGUUUCAUUACUAGAGAUGUGGUUAGAAGCUUCCGAAUCUAGGAUCCACAGUCCAAUAAAUGACUGGUUUGGACAAGAGGAGGAAUUACCAGAUCGGUCAGCAAACGUAAGGGAUGAGGAUGACCGUUGUUUGAAGUCAAAGUGGAUGAUGUAAUUGAUUUGUUGUGUUAGGUAUUCUUCCAUCAACAUUGGAUUGUGCUAUAUGAGCAGGAUGGGCGGGACGACCAAUGUUAGGAGGUUGGUUGUAGUGUGAGGAUCGCCCAUCAAGGGUGAAACAAGUAUCACGAGUAUGGUCUCCUCUGUAGCAAUAAGUACAAUGUGAUUCCAAGGUUUGACCAUGAAGGCAAAAAAAGCGUCAUGUGUGUGACUGCCUUUAUUACAAUAAGUACAGUGUGAUUUGAUCCUUUGCCUUCCCUUUUUUGAGAUCCAUUAUGUCCCUGUUGAUUACUAGACUGUACAUCCAACACGGAUGAGUUGGUGGGUUUUAUAUUAGUGAUAUUAUUUGUAGUCAGAGAGAUGCAUAAGAGUCGGGUGGGCAGAAACAUCAUUUAGGGUAGGAAUGACUGGACUAGUCAAGAUUUGGUCCUGUCAAGGCUAGGACCCUGAAAAAUUUGUCCCUCUGUUGGUCAAUGAGACUAUCUGUGAAUGGCAUAUGAGAAUUGAAUUCAUCCUUAAAUGUUUCUGCUUGACCGAAAUAGCUUGCAGUGUCUUGAUGAUUCUGCUGCAAGUGGACAAGGUCUGAUGCAACCUUAUAUAUGCUUUGAAUAUUAUUUGCAUAUUGUGUUUUAGCUUUAAGCCAAACCCUACAAUGGGUUUUAUGGGACUAAAAAAUGGUGAGCAGCUUAGGGUCAAGAGAAGGCCAUAUGAGACUGCAUAAUUGUGCAUCAAUUUUUACCCAAGUCAUCCGAUCAGUAGCGACAAUAUCACUAGAGUUUUUGACUAGAUGAUCAUCAUACCCUUGUCCUAUAAACCAUAAUUCUACAAUGCAACUCAAGAUUUAAAAUUACUGCUACCUUGUAAUUUAACAGUAGUAAGUGUGAACUAGAUCUAGCAAAUGAGAAUUGGGGUUUAGAGUUUUUAGCACCUGUGCCAGAAGAGGCCAUCUUAUCAGUCAUGUUUGGGCAGUCGAUAAUCUUGAUUUAAAACAAGUUUAAGAGCUGAAACUGAGGUAGUAAUAAAAACGAUGCAGUAGAAACACCAACACCCAAUGCAAUCCAGAAUAAUAGAGGGCAGUAGAAACAACAAUAACCCAAGGAAACCAGAAACCAAGGCA
rnacentral:misc_RNA from 1 species